rnacentral:misc_RNA from 1 species
GAUGAAGAACGUAGCGAAAUGCGAUAAGUAAUGUGAAUUGCAGAAUUCAGUGAAUCAUCGAAUCUUUGAACGCACAUUGCGCCCCUUGGUAUUCCGAGGGGCAUGCCUGUUCGAGCGUCAUUAUAACCCCUCAAGCUCAGCUUGGUGUUGGGGCCUGCUGCACUGGCAGCCCUUAAAAUCAGUGGCGGCGCCAUCUGGCUCUAAGCGUAGUAAUUCUUCUCGCUAUGGAGUCCUGGUGGAUGCUUGCCAUCAGCCCCCAAUUUUUCUAUGGUUGACCUCGGAUCAGGUAGGGAUACCCGCUGAACUUAAGCAUAUCAAUAAGCGGAGGA